rnacentral:rRNA from 1 species
AGAGUGAACGCUGGCGGUAGGCCUAACACAUGCAAGUCGAACGGCAGCACAGUAAGAGCUUGCUCUUAUGGGUGGCGAGUGGCGGACGGGUGAGGAAUACAUCGGAAUCUACCUUUUCGUGGGGGAUAACGUAGGGAAACUUACGCUAAUACCGCAUAAGACCUUCGGGUGAAAGCCGGGGGACCUUCGGGCCUGGCGCGGAUAGAUGAGCCGAUGUCGGAUUAGCUUGGUUGGCGGGGUAAAAGCCC